rnacentral:rRNA from 1 species
AAUGGCCUAGGAUUUCGUGAUAUUGAACUUUUCAAUUUAGCUCUUUUGGCACGACAAGCUUGAAGGGUGCUCAUGGAACCUACCUCUCUUAAUGCACGCAUACUAAAAGAAAAAUACUUUCCCUGAUGUGAUUUCGUGCAGGCUAAACCAGGAGGCUCUCUGUCACAUAUUUGGCCAUCUAUCAUUGAUGGUAGAGACACAUUGACAUAAGGGCCUAUGAGACGCAUAGGAGAUGGGAAAACCACGAAUAUGUGGAAUCAUAAUUGGUUACUCUGGGAUUCUAAUAUGCGACCGAUCGUGAGUCCUGUUGCAAAUCCGCCACAGAUGGUUAGUGAGUUAAUGACAAUCAAUACGGAGUGGGACACAGACCGGUUAGCUCAAAUUUAUUUGCCAACUGAUGUUGAGACCAUUUGUUCCAUACCGGUGUGCACGAAGCAGAUUGACGACUUCUGGUCUUGGGUCCAUGAGAGAAAUUGUCAGAGUUAA